CCGAACCCGGUAGCUAAGACCCACAGCGCUGAUGGUACUGCACUCGGAAGGGUGUGGGAGAGUAAGACACCGCCGGGA
rnacentral:rRNA from 1 species